rnacentral:rRNA from 1 species
GAUGAACGCUGGCGGCGUGCCUAAUACAUGCAAGUCGAGCGAACGGACGAGAAGCUUGCUUCUCUGAUGUUAGCGGCGGACGGGUGAGUAACACGUGGAUAACCUACCUAUAAGACUGGGAUAACUUCGGGAAACCGGAGCUAAUACCGGAUGAUAUUUUGAACCGCAUGGUUCAAAAGUGAAAGACGGUCUUGCUGUCACUUAUAGAUGGAUCCGCGCUGCAUUAGCUAGUUGGUAAGGUAACGGCUUACCAAGGCAACGAUGCAUAGCCGACCUGAGAGGGUGACCGGCCACACUGGAACUGAGACACGGUCCAGACUCCUACGGGAGGCAGCAGUAGGGAAUCUUCCGCAAUGGGCGAAAGCCUGACGGAGCAACGCCGCGUGAGUGAUUAAGGUCUUCGGAUCGUAAAACUCUGUUAUUAGGGAAGAACAUAUGUGUAAGGAACUGUGCACAUCUUGACGGUACCUAAUCAGAAAGCCACGGCUAACUACGUG